rnacentral:rRNA from 1 species
AGCAGUAGCCGCGGGAAUACGGAGGGUGCAAGCGUUAUCCGGAUUCACUGGGUUUAAAGGGUGCGUAGGCGGGUCUGUAAGUCAGUGGUGAAAUCUCCAGGCUUAACCUGGAAACUGCCGUUGAUACUAUAGGUCUUGAAUUUUGUGGAGGUUAGCGGAAUAUGUCAUGUAGCGGUGAAAUGCAUAGAUAUGACAUAGAACACCAAUUGCGAAGGCAGCUGGCUACACAACUAUUGACGCUGAGGCACGAAAGCGUGGGGAUCAAACAGGAUUAGAUCCCCUGUAGUCCCUGUCUCUUAUACA